UACGUAGGGGGCAAGCGUUGUUCGGAAUUACUGGGCGUAAAGGGCGCGUAGGCGGCACGACAAGUCGGAAGUGAAAGCCCGGGGCUCAACCCCGGAAUGUCUUUCGAAACUGUCGAGCUAGAGUGCAGAAGAGGCAACUGGAAUUCCCAGUGUAGCGGUGAAAUGCGUAGAUAUUGGGAAGAACACCUGAGGCGAAGGCGGGUUGCUGGGCUGACACUGACGCUGAGGCGCGAAAGCCAGGGGAGCGAACAGG
rnacentral:rRNA from 1 species